CACUUUAGUGGCACAAAUACUACAAUAAGAUUGGAACGAUACAGAGGAGAUUAGCAUGGCCCCUGUGCAAGGAUGACACGCAAAUUCGUGAAGCAGUCCCUAUUUUU